rnacentral:lncRNA from 1 species
GGUGAUUGAGGAGAAGCUGAUGAAUCCAUUCUGCCUUUCCAAGAAGUUGAUGAUGCCAUGAAGAUGGUGCAUUGGCCGAGUUAGGAAACUCACAAAAACACAAGGGAAGUUCCCUUAGACUUUUAAACUCUUUCUUCAAAUCUUCUUCAUUCAUCUUAUUCAUUGCUUGUGCGUGACAAGAUACUUAAAAUGAUUAUGAUUGAAUUGUGAGAUUGUGUGCAUCAAGUGUGAUGCAGGAUAUUCAUUUUCUUGGUUUUGAUAGGUACUGAUGCACCUUUGGGAUAAUGUAUCAGGUACCAUUGCUUGAUGCCUCAUUAAACAGUUCCGGGUCAUCUCUUAGCUUCUCUAAAGAGGCUGUGAAGUCUGUUGAGAGGGGGAGAUUCCAAACCUGGUCGAUGAAGAAGGCAAGCCGUGUGUGAAGUGAUUGAUCAGCCUCACUGGUGUUUUGAAGAUGAUCUGGUCGUGUCCUAGCUUCUCUAAGAUGGCUGUGAAGUCAGUUGAGAGGGGGAGACUUCAAACCGGUUCCAUGAAGAGGUGAAGCUGAAGUGUCAAGUGUAGGCAAAGCUGUGAAGAGUUGCUGCACCUAUUAGGCCGUGAUCCAGAGCUUCUUGUGUCUAACCACAUUGGUUCUAAGGCACAAGAGCUCACUGGCCAAUCCCUAGGCUUUGGAGAGCUCUACUCUUUUU